GUGGAGGUGAGUAAUCUUUGCCACCUCAAAGAGUAGAUGGAUUACGUUUUCUUUUGUAAAUAUUAAUGCAGAACCCUCGGUAUAACAAACACCAUAUUGGAAAUGUAAGCUAUACCUUCGGGCUUUGUGUGAAAUUCGACAGCCCACUCUAAAAUGUGCGACAUCCUGGCUGACUUCCAACAGUGCGCUUGCAUGAGUUGCUUUCCAGGGAAUCAGAGUCUCACAUGAGAGGAACCUGGAAUCCAACUCCAGAAAGAAAGGUGAGCAACCCAGUAACGCUUACUUGGCGAGCCACUUUCAGAAGGAGCUACCGAUAACAUUUUGGCAUAGCCAGCCAGGAGAAACAGAAGCCAGGAGUUCCAGCAACACCCUCAAAGAGGAAAUGGAUACCUCAACUCGCUCUUGCUUGCAAGUUCCGGAUUUCUCCAGAAGACACAAAUCUUGCUUUUAAUGAGUAACAGGUCUGAGACCUGAGGACUUUGUCUCAAUAAUAGUAGUACCUGCCUCUUAAAUUGUAGUAUGAACCAAAUAAUGAGGUAAUGUGUUUUCAUUUCUCUAAGCUGGGCCUGAUACAUAGUGAACUUUCAUUAAAUAUUAGCUAUUAUUGGAAUUAAUAAAUCCC
rnacentral:lncRNA from 1 species